rnacentral:tRNA from 1 species
GCCGGUGUAGCUCAACUGGCAGAGCAAUAGUGUCGUAAACUAUAGGUUGCAGGUUCAAGUCCUGUCACCGGCUCCA